CACGGCCCGCGCCGGCGCGAGCACCUGCGCGGGGCGCUCCGCGUGCCGGCAGCACCCUCUGCUCCCCCCGGCCCCCACCCCCGGCCCAGCUUCACGCCCGCAGCGCAGGGAAGAGGUUUUCGGCCUUUCCCCUCCCAUUCAAACCACGGAGGCGGUAUCCGGGACACUUCAAGAGAGGCUUCUCUUUGCUUACCCUUCCUUUUAAACUCAAUUUUACCACCCUUCCGAUCAUUCAGCCCAUAGGUUUUUUAAAGCAAAUAUCUCCUUCAGAACAUCCUCUCUAUUUAUUGACACCGGGACUGAAAAAAGUGUCACCUCCUAUUGACUCAGUAAAUAUUUGGUCAUUCCUUCCAGAAAGAGAAUUUGUUUUGCAGUUCACAUGCAGUUAAGUCCCACGGCACUACAGAAAAUACAUUCGCCUUCUCCUUGGUGAAGUUACAGCAAUCACACUACAACCUAGAGACUGAAAGAAAAGAAAUGUUUAUCGAUUACUUCUGCCAUAACUUUGUACAGAGAAUAAUACACUCUGCUGGUCUUCAAUAUACUUCUUUUAUUUAGUCAUGAAGAGAGAAGCAAAAAGCAACAGGGAAUCUAUUUCUUUAAGAAGAAUUUGGAAUAAAGAACUACAUAACCUUGAUCUCUUUCAAAUCAGGAAUUGCUUCAAGCAGAAUACACAAAUGCUCUUCAAAAUGAAGACUGAAAUACAAUUCUGUUGACUCUCUGCAGGGUAAUAACACAGGGCAAUAUUGUGCUUCCACAGUUCACAGACUGUCUUUUAAAGAGAACUGUUAAAUGUAGGUGUCUCCAAUUUAUCAACCCUUCCCAGCACAAGGAUUUACUUUUCAUCACCUUUUGCAGUCCUUCUCGCCUGCUGGCUCACAGGAGCUACUUUCAUCCUUCCUCUGAACUAUUUUCACACAGAUACAAUAUAUGGAUGGGAAGUACAAUACACUGAUGCAAGUUGGACUAAUGGCAAAACUGAAGUCAUAAUUUCAGAUAACCAUGCACUGGAGACAAGGCAUACGCCAUGACUGAGAACCCUCACAGGCCAUCCGGUGUCCCAGAGUACCUCAGCUCUUCACAGCUUCAGUUGCUCCAUACUCAGCAUAAGUGAACUUUCCACUCACAGAUCAACUCAAGUGAAAUCAUUAAAGAUGGUCCCCUCAUUUUACUGCACAGACAUUCAAAUGCAAAACCAUAUCAUAAUUGUAUACUUGUACUGUCUCAUUUUCAAGUGUCUAGUUAGAGCUCAUGUUCUCUACCUGGACAGAGAGAGAUCUCUAGCAUAGAAAAAUCCAACUGUAAUGUACACAUCUUUAUUAAAUGCCUAAAGCUAACUUACUUGAAAUGU